GAUGAACGCUGGCGGCGUGCCUAAUACAUGCAAGUCGAGCGAAUGAUGAGGAGCUUGCUCCUCUGAUUUAGCGGCGGACGGGUGAGUAACACGUGGGUAAUCUGCCUGUAAGACGGGGAUAACUCCGGGAAACCGGGGCUAAUACCGGAUAAUAAGAGAAGAAGCAUUUCUUCUUUUUGAAAGUCGGUUUCGGCUGACACUUACAGAUGAGCCCGCGGCGCAUUAGCUAGUUGGUGAGGUAACGGCUCACCAAGGCGACGAUGCGUAGCCGACCUGAGAGGGUGAUCGGCCACACUGGGACUGAGACACGGCCCAGACUCCUACGGGAGGCAGCAGUAGGGAAUCUUCGGCAAUGGGCGAAAGCCUGACCGAGCAACGCCGCGUGAGCGAUGAAGGCCUUCGGGUCGUAAAGCUCUGUUGUUAGAGAAGAACAAGUACGAGAGUAACUGCUCGUACCUUGACGGUACCUAACCAGAAAGCCACGGCUAACUACGUGCCAGCAGCCGCGGUAAUACGUAGGUGGCAAGCGUUAUCCGGAAUUAUUGGGCGUAAAGCGCGCGCAGGCGGUCUCUUAAGUCUGAUGUGAAAGCCCACGGCUCAACCGUGGAGGGUCAUUGGAAACUGGGAGACUUGAGUGCAGGAGAGAAAAGUGGAAUUCCACGUGUAGCGGUGAAAUGCGUAGAGAUGUGGAGGAACACCAGUGGCGAAGGCGGCUUUUUGGCCUGUAACUGACGCUGAGGCGCGAAAGCGUGGGGAGCAAACAGGAUUAGAUACCCUGGUAGUCCACGCCGUAAACGAUGAGUGCUAGGUGUUGGGGGGUUCCACCCUCAGUGCUGAAGUUAACACAUUAAGCACUCCGCCUGGGGAGUACGACCGCAAGGUUGAAACUCAAAGGAAUUGACGGGGGCCCGCACAAGCAGUGGAGCAUGUGGUUUAAUUCGAAGCAACGCGAAGAACCUUACCAGGUCUUGACAUCCUUUGACCACUCUAGAGAUAGAGCUUUCCCCUUCGGGGGACAAAGUGACAGGUGGUGCAUGGUUGUCGUCAGCUCGUGUCGUGAGAUGUUGGGUUAAGUCCCGCAACGAGCGCAACCCUUGACCUUAGUUGCCAGCAUUCAGUUGGGCACUCUAA
rnacentral:rRNA from 1 species